GGACGCCUACGGGGGGCAGCAGUGGGGAAUAUUGGGCAAUGGGCGCAAGCCUGACCCAGCGACGCCGCGUGAAGGAAGAAGGCUUUCGGGUUGUAAACUUCUUUUCUCAGGGACGAAGCAAGUGACGGUACCUGAGGAAUAAGCCACGGCUAACUACGUGCCAGCAGCCGCGGUAAUACGUAGGUGGCAAGCGUUAUCCGGAUUUACUGGGUGUAAAGGGCGUGUAGGCGGGACUGCAAGUCAGAUGUGAAAACCACGGGCUCAACCUGUGGCCUGCAUUUGAAACUGUAGUUCUUGAGGACUGG
rnacentral:rRNA from 1 species